UACGUAGGGAGCAAACGUUGUCCGGAUUUAUUGGGCGUAAAGGGCUCGUAGGCGGUUCAACAAGUCGGUCGUGAAAGCCCGGGGCUCAACCCCGGGAUGCCGGUCGAAACUGUUGUGACUAGAGUUCGGUAGAGGUGAGUGGAAUUCUCAGUGUAGCGGUGGAAUGCGCAGAUAUUGAGAGGAACACCAUUAGCGAAGGCGGCUCACUGGGCCGAUACUGACGCUGAGGAGCGAAAGCGUGGGGAGCAAACAGG
rnacentral:rRNA from 1 species